ACAGCAUGGUGUGGGCAUUUUCUAAUUAGGUCUUUUAGGCUCUCCCAUAUUUCAUGGAACAUCUCUCCAUCCAUUUGGAAAAAAACUUGUUAUCACUUUUCUAACCU